rnacentral:rRNA from 1 species
AACGGCCGUACCAUGCUGAAUAUGCCGGUUCUCGUUAGAUCACCGAAGUUAAGCAUCAUUGGGCGCGGUCAGUACUUGGGUGGGUGACCACCUGGGAACACCGCGUGCCGUU